AACGAACGCUGGCGGCAGGCCUAACACAUGCAAGUCGAACGCUCCGCAAGGGGAGUGGCGCACGGGUGAGUAACACGUGGGAACCUACCUUCUGGUACGGAACAACCAAGGGAAACUCUGGCUGAUACCGUAUACGACCUCCGGGUGAAAGAUUGAUCGCCGGAAGAGGGGCCCGCGUCCGAUUAGGUAGUUGGUGAGGUAACGGCUCACCAAGCCUGCGAUCGGUAGCUGGUCUGAGAGGANGACCAGCCACACUGGGACUGAGACACGGCCAGACUCCUACGGGAGGCAGCAGUGGGGAAUACUGGACAAUGGGCGCAAGCCUGAUCCAGCCAUGCCGCGUGGAUGAUGAAGGCCCUAGGGUUGUAAAGUCCUUUCGGCGGGAAGAUAAUGACGGUACCCGCAGAAGAAGCCCCGG
rnacentral:rRNA from 1 species